rnacentral:tRNA from 2 species
GCCCCCAUGGCGGAAUUGGAAGACGCGCUAGCUUCAGGAGCUAGUGGCCGCAAGGCCUUAGAGGUUCGAGUCCUCUUGGGGGCACAA